rnacentral:rRNA from 1 species
UAGGGAAUCUUCGGCAAUGGACGAAAGUCUGACCGAGCAACGCCGCGUGAGUGAAGAAGGUUUUCGGAUCAUAAAACUCUGUUGGUAGAGAAGAACGUUGGUGAGAGUGGAAAGCUCAUCAAGUGACGGUAACUACCCAGAAAGGGACGGCUAACUACGUGCCAGCAGCCGCGGUAAUACGUAGGUCCCGAGCGUUGUCCGGAUUUAUUGGGCGUAAAGCGAGCGCAGGUGGUUUAUUAAGUCUGGUGUAAAGGCAGUGGCUCAACCAUUGUAUGCAUUGGAAACUUGUAGACUUGAGUGCAGGAGAGGAGAGUGGAAUUCCAUGUGUAGCGGUGAAAUGCGUAGAUAUAUGGAGGAACACCGGUGGCGAAAGCGGCUCUCUGGCCUGUAACUGACACUGAGGCUCGAAAGCGUGGGGAGCAAACA